ensembl:lncRNA
GGGGAGAGGGGAUUCAGAGCGCCUUGAAGAAACAGAAGGGAUCAUGUAGGCUUAAAAGAGGGGCCUGCCCACUUCCGCCAUAGCCACCCAGGCCUGCCUCUCCAAGAGGGCCAAUCCCGGAGAGGAAAGGGCCGCAAGGGCGCCUGACCUUGCAGGAUCCUCCGCCCCUGACGCCCCUGCCGGCUAUCCGCGACAGCCUGGGUGUGUGCACGCCCGCGGACCAGAUGGACGCCCGCGCAUCCGCACUCUGUGAACCCGGCCGGGAGGGGAGGGGCCCUGGGGAUGAGCUCAGUCACACAGUCCAUCUGCCCGUGUGCAAGUUCAGGACUGAAAAACACACCGGGGAAAUUGGGACACAGUGAGGUCAUCUGGUCUACGGGCCACGAGACACGCCCGCCACACCUCGUGAAUCGGCCAAUCCUGCCCUGCAGGCCUCGUCAGCCCACCGCUGCAGCGCAGGCUGGGACGGGCGUGUGGCUGCAAACCACAGGUGCGCCCCGGGAGGAGGCAGCAGCCACCCGAGCGCCUGACUCACACGCGGGUACCUGGUGACGGGCAGAACCCACCAGGCUGGCUUUUAAGGCUGUGAAAAGUCUGCGGCGAGAAGGGUGCCGGAAGCUUCCGAGCUUCCUGCCAGCGGCGGGGCCACGCGCUCCCAGGCCCCGAGCAUCGCCAGGGUAAUCUGUCUGGCAGCAGCGGGUCCUCGCGGGAUCCGAUGACAUAGAUUCAGAACCAUUAACCCGGAAAAGAAGAGGGGAAAGGGAAGGUCACCUUGGUAACGGGAGACUUGGAGUGGCUGCAGCUCGCUGCCCAGAGGACCUGAUUCCCACCUUCCUUUACUGCUCAUGUACCCGAGGUCAGCAUCCUUGCCUGGAGCCAGGGAGGAAGCUGGAGAAAGACAGCGCCAACACCCCCGGGGUUCAGGGGGCCAUCUCCGCCUGACACAGCCCCUUGCUUCUCCCUCAGGAUUCCUAAAUCUGCUCUUGAUGGUCGGCUGCAAAUCUGGGUUCCCCCCGUUU